AUUCCAAACUUGAAAGAAGAAGAGGCGAUGACAGUGCGUAACACAUUUCGCAGCGACAUUGGAGAGGGUUCCAUUUUAUUAACGCUCUUGAAAAAGAAUAAUAAUCCAGGUCUGUUUGUGUGCUGCAUACUGGACUUCUCUCUGCUGGGAAGAAACACACAGUUCACUGGGAUAAAUUUCUUUUGCAAGGAGCUGAAAAGAGAAACACUUGAAAGUUCCAUCAUCAUAAAUUCACCUGAAGCCACCAUAAUUGAAAGCCCUUGCCCACACAGAACACAUCUUUAGAAGUUCCGGACUGAUGAGAAAAUCUUUUCUAAAUUUGGCCAUCGCAGAAUCUGGGUACGAGGAUCUGCUCUAUACAGCUUGUUAACACUCCAGAUGAAGAAAAGGUGGUCUGUGAAUGACUCUGAGCCCUAAGGAGGAUAAACUUGUGAAGAAGAGUGAGACCGAACAAGCCGCAGCAUGCCUAUUCAUGUACCUGCUCUGCAGUCGCAAAUCAAGAAGGUUUUGUGGAUUACCCCAGCUCCACGUCCAAGCAAUAAACUGUCCACCUCAUGUAAAAUGUUUUACUGCUGUACUGGUUUUAAGUGACCAAGUUCUUGCCAGAAGAACUACACCGGGCUUGUUACAUUAGGAAUAUUGGUGCCGAUGAGGGAGUCUGCCGACAUCUAAUCCAGCCAAGUCACAUGGUUUAUUAAUUAAACUCCCGGAGAGCAGCCAUUUGGCUUUUCUACCUUUA